UACGGAGGAUGCAAGCGUUAUCCGGAUUCAUUGGGUUUAAAGGGUCCGCAGGCGGGGUAAUAAGUCAGAGGUGAAAUCCUACGGCUCAACUGUAGAACUGCCUUUGAUACUGUUAUCCUAGAGUGUAGUUGAUGUGGGCGGAAUAUGUCAUGUAGCGGUGAAAUGCUUAGAUAUGACAUAGAACACCGAUCGCGAAGGCAGCUCACAAAGCUACAACUGACGCUCAGGGACGAAAGCGUGGGGAUCAAACAGG
rnacentral:rRNA from 1 species